CCUACGGGUGGCAGCAGUGAGGAAUAUUGGUCAAUGGGCGGGAGCCUGAACCAGCCAAGUCGCGUGAGGGAAGAAGGUACUGAGUAUUGUAAACCUCUUUUGCCAGGGGACAAAGGCGGCCACGGGUGGCCGUAGCAGGGUACCUGGAGAAAAAGCAUCGGCUAACUCCGUGCCAGCAGCCGCGGUAAUACGGAGGAUGCGAGCGUUAUCCGGAUUUAUUGGGUUUAAAGGGUGCGCAGGCGGCGUGUCAAGUCAGCGGUAAAAUGUCGGGGCUCAACCCCGGCCGGCCGUUGAAACUGGCGUUCUUGAGUGGGAGAGAAGUAUGCGGAAUGCGUGGUGUAGCGGUGAAAUGCAUAGAUAUCACGAAGAACCCCGAUUGCGAAGGCAGCAUACCGGCGCCACACUGACGCUGAGGCACGAAAGCGUGGGUAUCGAACAGGAUUAGAUACCCUUGUAGUC
rnacentral:rRNA from 1 species